UUGAACAUGGUCACUCAUGCAUUAUUUUGAAGUUCUGUUAGUCAUGUUAGUGUUCAAUGUCUCAGUAAAAAAAUGUUAAUUAAAUUAAAGUUUUUAUCACUGACAAUAGCUGGUUCUGUUUUUUUUCAUAAAACAUUUCGUCAUUACUGAGUAGGUGAAUGAAGGCAACAGCAUCUUUAUUUCAAUAGCUAGUCUAACACUAUUUCACAGGGUGCUAAUGCAUUUAUUGCCCUUGAAAAUGUCAGAAUGCUAAAUAUUUCAUGCGUCCGGCUAUAUACCUUUUUGCCUCAGUGCCCUGGCCAGUAAUUCUUGGUGCCCUCCGAACCUACGGGAAAAUGCCUUAUAGUGCCCUCCUAUAUUUGAGGGGAUAAAAGGCAAACAUUGCUGUGCCCCCCGAACAAAGUAAUUCUAUCGCUGCGUUGAGAUGGUAGAGAGAGGAGAACUACCCAAUCCAAAAGUGUAGUCAUAUGAAGAGAUGAAGAAUCGUUGUUCUGAUCCUCUCUUUCCAGUGAAAGUGGGGGUAUUUCAGAGCGUUGCAAGAGAAAUUACCACCUUCCUCACAGUGUAUCAAACAGACAAACCCAUGCUGCCAUUCCUCUCCCAGGACAUGCACAAACUAAUUAAAGGAUAGCAGUCUGCACAAGGACAGUUCUAAGACUGAUAUUGGAUUUGCAGCAGAGGCAGAGAUAUUUUUCAUUUUUUUUCCACAGUUGGAUAGUUUAUCCUUCUUUAGUGUAGGCAGUGGUAGAAAUGCUGUUUCCUGUGGUUGGCAAGUGUGAAAAUGCUGUUAAGAAAAUUUUAAUUUUGUUAUUUUUUAUUAUAGCAUACAUGACUGCCAAAUCUGGCUUGGAUAAAAAUGAAGUUAAGGAGAUGAUUGCCUGGAAGUGUGCAGAUAAAGAUAAGAUGAGCAGAAGAAAUUUAAGAGUGUGACCUCUGUGUUAC